GUGGCGCUGCGGUAAUCGCUGAAACAACACUGGCUUUGCGACCUCCCGGGUGUCCUUCCCCGUCAUACGAACCUCAGAACUCCCUUCUGUUCUUGUCAUGUAUGAAAACCUGGCAGCGGGACUCUGCGGGGGGUCUAAGUGUCCCACAGUGGCGCUGUACCCCCUGGCUGGACCUGAUCAAAGUGAAGCAGGUACAGUAUACUAAGGUUCACCGUGUUCGUGGCAGCUCUGUGAGGAGGCCACCCCACUCUGCAUGCUCCUUGUUGUUCCAGGCUGCCUCUUCAUGGGAACUGACUCAACAAUGGCACAGAUAUUAGCCCCUGGGAAUAUGUUGCUAUGGGAGCCGCGUGGAAGACACUCACCGUGGCCAUGAUGCAAGCAUAUUGGCGGCGCUGCGGACCUCGUAAGGAGGACAUGGA